rnacentral:rRNA from 1 species
AUUGAACGCUGGCGGCAGGCUUAACACAUGCAAGUCGAGCGAGCGGCGGACGGGUGAGUAAUGUCUGGGAAACUGCCUGAUGGAGGGGGAUAACUACUGGAAACGGUAGCUAAUACCGCAUACCAUCAGAUGUGCCCAGAUGGGAUGGGCUAGUAGGUGGGGUAAUGGCUCACCUAGGCGACGAUCCCUAGCUGGUCUGAGAGGAUGACCAGCCACACUGUAACUGAGACACGGUCCAGACUCCUACGGGAGGGAGCAGUGGGGAAUAGUGCACAGUGGGCGCAAGCCUGAAGCAGCCAGGCCGCGUGUGUGAAGAAGGCCUCCGGGUUGUAAAGCACUUUCAGCGAGGAGGCGUUACGCGCAGAAGAAGCACCGGCUAACUCCGUGCCAGCAGCCGCGGUAAUUC